rnacentral:misc_RNA from 1 species
AAGUCGUAACAAGGUUUCCGUAGGUGAACCUGCGGAAGGAUCAUUACUGAGUUUUGAAAAGGUUUACAGUCUCUCUUCGGAGUUGGCAGUAUUCCUUUUUCUUCUCUUCACCCUUUGUUAUUAUUUUCCAAGUUGCUUUGGCAGGGACGCUUGUUCCUGCCAAGGGACCUUUUUAAACACUUUGUUAUCCAACAAUUGGGAUGUCUUUUGUCUGAUUCUUAUGACUUGAAUAAGUACAUAAAACUUUCAACAACGGAUCUCUUGGUUCUG